UCUCCUGUAGCUCAGUGGUAGAGCGUCCGACCGGUGUGCAUAAGGUCAUAGGUUCGACUCCGGUUGGGGGAA
rnacentral:tRNA from 1 species